GACGAACGCUGGCGGCGUGCCUAAUACAUGCAAGUAGAACGCUGAAGAGAGGAGCUUACUCUUCUUGGAUGAGUUGCGAACGGGUGAGUAACGCGUAGGUAACCUGCCUUGUAGCGGGGGAUAACUAUUGGAAACGAUAGCUAAUACCGCAUAACAAUGGAUGACACGUGUCAUUUAUUUGAAAGGGGCAAUUGCUCCACUACAAGAUGGACCUGCGUUGUAUUAGCUAGUAGGUGAGGUAAUGGCUCACCUAGGCGACGAUACAUAGCCGACCUGAGAGGGUGAUCGGCCACACUGGGACUGAGACACGGCCCAGACUCCUACGGGAGGCAGCAGUAGGGAAUCUUCGGCAAUGGGGGCAACCCUGACCGAGCAACGCCGCGUGAGUGAAGAAGGGUUUCGGAUCGUAAAGCUCUGUUGUAAGUCAAGAACGGGUGUGAGAGUGGAAAGUUCACACUGUGACGGUAGCUUACCAGAAAGGGACGGCUAACUACGUG
rnacentral:rRNA from 1 species